AGAGUUUGAUCCUGGCUCAGGACGAACGCUGGCGGCGUGCCUAAUACAUGCAAGUCGAACGCUUCUUUUUCCACCGGAGCUUGCUCCAUCGGAAAAAGAGGAGUGGCGAACGGGUGAGUAACACGUGGGUAACCUGCCCAUCAGAAGGGGAUAACACUUGGAAACAGGUGCUAAUACCGUAUAACAAUCGAAACCACAUGGUUUUGAUUUGAAAGGCGCUUUCGGGUGUCGCUGAUGGAUGGACCCGCGGUGCAUUAGCUAGUUGGUGAGGUAACGGCUCACCAAGGCGACGAUGCAUAGCCGACCUGAGAGGGUGAUCGGCCACAUUGGGACUGAGACACGGCCCAAACUCCUACGGGAGGCAGCAGUAGGGAAUCUUCGGCAAUGGACGAAAGUCUGACCGAGCAACGCCGCGUGAGUGAAGAAGGUUUUCGGAUCGUAAAACUCUGUUGUUAGAGAAGAACAAGGAUGAGAGUAACUGUUCAUCCCUUGACGGUAUCUAACCAGAAAGCCACGGCUAACUACGUGCCAGCAGCCGCGGUAAUACGUAGGUGGCAAGCGUUGUCCGGAUUUAUUGGGCGUAAAGCGAGCGCAGGCGGUUUCUUAAGUCUGAUGUGAAAGCCCCCGGCUCAACCGGGGAGGGUCAUUGGAAACUGGGAGACUUGAGUGCAGAAGAGGAGAGUGGAAUUCCAUGUGUAGCGGUGAAAUGCGUAGAUAUAUGGAGGAACACCAGUGGCGAAGGCGGCUCUCUGGUCUGUAACUGACGCUGAGGCUCGAAAGCGUGGGGAGCAAACAGGAUUAGAUACCCUGGUAGUCCACGCCGUAAACGAUGAGU
rnacentral:rRNA from 1 species